AUUGAACGCUGGCGGCAGGCCUAACACAUGCAAGUCGAACGAGUGGCGGACGGGUGAGUAAUGUCUGGGAAACUGCCCGAUGGAGGGGGAUAACUACUGGAAACGGUAGCUAAUACCGCAUACCAUCGGAUGUGCCCAGAUGGGAUUAGCUAGUAGGUGGGGUAACGGCUCACCUAGGCGACGAUCCCUAGCUGGUCUGAGAGGAUGACCAGCCACACUGGAACUGAUACACGGUCCAGACUCCUACGGUAGGCACCAGUGGGGAAUAUUGCACAAUGGGCGCAAGCCUGAUGCAACCAUGCCGCGUGUAUGAAGAAGGCCUUCGGGGUGUAAAGUACGGUCAUCGGGGAGGCGUUACCCGCAGAAGAAGCACCGGCUAACUCCGUGCCAGCAGCCGCGGUAAUUC
rnacentral:rRNA from 1 species